rnacentral:lncRNA from 1 species
CCCCUCAGGGGAGGUGUUGGGUAACGUGGGGGGGGGGUUUGUGUGCAGAGGGCACUGGGUGAACUGGGAAGGAUGGGGGGGGAACUGGGAAGAACUGGGAAGAACUGGGAGGAACUGGGAGCGUUUAUUGGGAUUAUUUACAGCUUUGUACAUAGAAGGAGACCCCCCCACCCCUCAGGGUCGCCCCACAACCGUGCUAUGUGGGGGGAGGGGGGGUGGGGCAUCCCAUAAUGACCCCACAGAGACCCCACAACAUUUGGGGACUCUUUAGGAUCCCUGGAUCACCCCAUAACGACCCCAUAGAAACACGUGGGGACAUCAGAGACCCCAAGGCCACCCUAUAAUGUCCCCAUAGAGACCCCUGGGGACAUCAGGGACCCCAAGGCCGCCCCCCCCCCGUCCCCAUAAAGACCCCCUGGAGGCACUUGGAGACACCUGGGACCCCAGGCCACCCCAUAAUGUCCCCACAGAGACCCCUGGGGACAUCAGGGACCCCAAGACCACCCUUAACAUCCCCAUAGAGACCCCUGGGACCCCAGGCCACCCCAUAACGUCCCCACAGAGACCCCUGGGGACAUCAGGGACCCCAAGACGACCCCACAGUGACCCCCUCCCCACUCCCCCAAUGACUUUUGGUGACACGUGGGGUCACCAUGGGCCCCUCACUGGGCGGAUUGGGGACUCUGUGCCACGCCGGCCCCGUUGGCCUUCCCAAAGGGCCCCCCAGUGGGGCCGGGGGGAGGCUGGGGGCUGUCCCCAGGUUCUGAUUUGGGGGUGGUGACGGCGGUGGCCGCGGGGGACGCGGUGGCGGAGGAUGGGGACAGCUGAGGUCCCGGGGUGGUGGGGAUCGUGGGGUUGGGUUUGGGGUCACCGCUGGUGGGAGGAAGGGACACCACGAUGUACUUCUGGACGCUGCCCGUGACGGUGGCACUGGGGGCCGUGGGGGCUGCAGACACCAGUUUGACCACGGGUUGGACGCUGGGGACGGUGGUGGUGACGGGGGAGGUGGCGGUGGGGGCAGGGCUGGUGCUGAAGGUGAUGACCUGUGGGGAGAAUGGGGGCGUUGGGGGGACUGGGGGCAAUGGGGGGACCUGGGGGG